rnacentral:pre_miRNA from 1 species
AAAAAGAUAAACUCUGGGUUUUCAUGUUCAACUUUGACUGUCCGUCUUAUAUGAAAUUUUUUUAUAAUUCGUAUUUUCAUUGUUGUUAGAUGAUAAAACAUGAUUAAUAUUUUAUGCGUGACUUGUCUUUUUAUUUUUUUUCAUAAUUUUUUUAAAUAAGACGGACGGUCAAAUGUUGGGCACGGAAACCAGGGUUUGUCUUUUU